GGCAUCAUGAGAGUCCAACUGUCUCUUAUAACAAAUCAAUUAAACUGAUCUCCCAGUACAAAAGCUGGAAUAUCUCUAUAAGACCAGAAGACCCUGUGAAGCUUUAACUAAACUAUUAAACUCAAUAAUAACUAAUUUCGGUUGGGGCGACCUUGGAACAAAAAAGAACUUCCAAAUACGAGACAUUGUCUCAUACGGCUGACAAGCCAUAGACCCAGUACACUGAUUAAUGAAAUAAGUUACUCCAGGGAUAACAGCGCUAUCUUCUUUAAGAGCCCAUAUCAAAAAGAAGGUUUACGACCUCGAUGUUGGAUCAGGACAUCCUAGCAAUGCAACCGUUUCUAAGGGUUCGUUUGUUCAACGAUUAAUAGUCCUACGUGA
rnacentral:rRNA from 1 species